rnacentral:rRNA from 1 species
GACGAACGCUGGCGGCGUGCCUAAUACAUGCAAGUCGAGCGAGUCUGCCUUGAGCAUCCGACUGCUUGCUCUCUGUGAAACAGGAUAAUGGCUAGCGGCUGACCGGUGACUAAGCGGUGGAUAACCUGCGCAAGAGAUCGGGAUUACCCCUGAAAACUCAUGCUCAUACCAGAUUGCAUCUGAUGAUGCCUAUCCACUGUUUAAAGAAUGGCUCUGCUAUCUCUCUUGGAUGGACCUGCGGUGCAUUACACUAGUUGGUACGGAUAACGGCCUACCAUGGCAAUGAUAGCUACCCGACUUGACAGACUGAUCGGCCACAUUGGGACUGAGACACGGCCCAAACUCCUCCUGGAGGCAGCAGUAAGGAAUCUUCCACAAUGGACGCAAGUCUGAUGAGAGCUCUCCGCUCUGAGUGAUCAAGGGUUUCGAGCUCAUAAAGCUCUGUUGUUGGUGAAUAACGACGGGAGUAGUACCUGACCUUUGUGUGACGGUAAUCACUUACAAAGUCACGGCUAACUACGUGCCACCCGCCCCUGUUAUACAUAUGUGGCAAGCGUUGUCCGGAUUUGUUGGGCGAAAAGCCAGAGCAUGCGGCUCGAUAAUUCUGAUGUGAAAGCCUUCGGCUCUGCCUGACAAUUGCGUCAGAAACUGUCGAGCUUGAGUACAGAAGAGGAGAGUGGAUCUCCAUGUGUAGCGGUGAAAUGCGUAGAUAUAUGGAGAAACACCGGUGGCGAAGGCGGCUCUCUGGUCUGUUACUGACGCUGAGGCUCGAAAGCAUGGGUAGCGAACAGGAUUAGAUACCCUGGUAGUCCAUGCCGUAAACGAUGAGUGCUAAGUGUUGGGAGGUUUCCGCCUCUCAGUGCUGCAGCUAACGCAUUAAGCACUCCGCCUGGGGAGUACGACCGCAAGGUUGAAACUCAAAGGAAUUGACGGGGGCCCGCACAAGCGGUGGAGCAUGUGGUUUAAUUCGAAGCAACGCGAAGAACCUUACCAGGUCUUGACAUCCAUAGCCAGUCUAAGAGAUUAGAUGUUCCCUUCGGGGCAUAUGAGACAGGUGGUGCAUGGCUGUCGUCAGCUCGUGUCGUGAGAUGUUGGGUUAAGUCCCGCAACGAGCGCAACCCUUGUCAUUAGUUGCCAUCAUUAAGUUGGGCACUCUAAUGAGACUGCCGGUGACAAACCGGAGGAAGGUGGGGAUGACGUCAAGUCAUCAUGCCCCUUAUGACCUGGGCUACACACGUGCUACAAUGGACGGUACAACGAGAAGCGACCCUGUGAAGGCAAGCGGAUCUCUGAAAGCCGUUCUCAGUUCGGAUUGCAGGCUGCAACUCGCCUGCAUGAAGUCUGGAAUCGCUAGUAAUCGCAAAUCAGCACGCUGCGGUGAAUACGUUCCCGGGCCU